rnacentral:sRNA from 1 species
GUUUAUGUUCUCCAUG